GGAGAGGUGGCCGAGCUGGCUGAAGGCAGACGCCUGCUAAGCGUUUAAACCGGGAAACCGGUUUCUCGGGUUCGAAUCCCGACCUCUCCG
rnacentral:tRNA from 3 species